UUGAUAUUUAUGUAUAAAACAAGACUGUACGUUAAAACAGAGUUUAGGUCUUCUGGCAGGCGCGCACUAGCAGCGCCGCUGGCAGAACCGGCGGCGUGGCGUGUGAUGGCGUACCCUUGCGGGCACGCCAUGGCCUGCCGAAGCAACGUGGAGGUAGACAGAGGGUGGGAGGUUGGGCUCUUGCGAACCCAGUCUCGGUAAUGAUCCUUCCGCAGGUUCACCUACGGAAA
rnacentral:misc_RNA from 1 species